UUGUUGGUAAGGUAAAAGCUUACCAAGGCUUCGAUCAGUAGCUGGUCUGAGAGGACGACCAGCCACACUGGGACUGAGACACGGCCCAGACUCCUACGGGAGGCAGCAGUGGGGAAUUUUGGACAAUGGGGGCAACCCUGAUCCAGCCAUGCCGCGUGAGUGAAGAAGGCCUUCGGGUUGUAAAGCUCUUUCAGCCGGAACGAAACGGUUACGGAUAACACCCGUGACUACUGACGGUACCGGAAGAAGAAGCACCGGCUAACUACGUGCCAGCAGCCGCGGUAAUACGUAGGGUGCGAGCGUUAAUCGGAAUUACUGGGCGUAAAGCGUGCGCAGGUGGUUUUGUAAGUCAGAUGUGAAAGCCCCGGGCUCAACCUGGGAACUGCGUUUGAAACUACAAGACUAGAGUGUGGCAGAGGGGGGUGGAAUUCCGCGUGUAGCAGUGAAAUGCGUAGAGAUGUGGAGGAACACCGAUGGCGAAGGCAGCCCCCUGGGUCAACACUGACGCUCAGGCACGAAAGCAUGGGGAGCAAACAGGAUUAGAUACCCUGGUAGUCCAUGCCCUAAACGAUGUCAACUAGUUGUCGGGCCUUUACGGGCUUGGUAACGUAGCUAACGCGUGAAGUUGACCGCCUGGGGAGUACGAUCGCAAGAUUAAAACUCAAAUGAAUUGACGGGGACCCGCACAAGCGGUGGACUAUGUGGAUUAAUUCGAUGCAACGCGAAAAACCUUACCUACCCUUGACAUGUAUCGAAGCCCGCAGAAAAGCGGGGGUGCCCGAAAGGGAACGAUAACACAGGUGCUGCAUGGCUGUCGUCAGCUCGUGUCGUGAGAUGUUGGGUUAAGUCCCGCAACGAGCGCAACCCUUGUCAUUAAUUGCCAUCAUUUAGUUGGGCACUUUAAUGAGACUGCCGG
rnacentral:rRNA from 1 species